UCUUAAUUGGUUCAUUGGUUGCAUCUGGUGCAUUUCACAUAAGAGGGACACGGACAAUACGUUUGUGUCCUCCACUGUUUGGCAGUUUAUCGUCUCCCAAACACGGUUAAAGACUUUUUGAAGUAAAGAGGAGCAUCUCAUCUGGACCUGAUGUCUAUCAUGGAUAUCUAACUGCAGUACUCGUUCUACUUGCGGGCCCAUUUCUGAUCAUCAGUGAAGGCUGAAGAUCAUUUCAAGGUGGAUGACAAUUUGGCAUUUCUUCGACGGAACCCUGCACCUGAAUAUGGCUGAGUAUAUUUGAUUUAAUAGCGAUACUGCUUAGUGUUCUUUGUUACUUCAGCUUUCGUAUGUUCUAAAUAUCUGGUGUCAAUAAUUGCCACGGAAGUAAAACCCUACCCAAUGGAAUGACGUUAAACAACAACUUUGGUGCCUAGUUACCAACUGGAUAAUAACAAAGCUAAAAUAAUGGCCGUCUUUCCCACAUGUUACAGUAGAAGAAACUCUAGAACUGUACAAAAAGGUAACAUGUAGUUUGUCCCAAGGUGUCUGCCUCCUCACCCAGAGCCAGACCUCCACCUCCUCACCCAGAGCCAGACCUCCACCUCCUCACCCAGAGCCAGACCUCCACCUCCUCACCCAGAGCCAGACCUCCACCUCCUCACCCAGAGCCAGACCUCCACCUCCUCACCCAGAGCCAGACCUCCACCUCCUCACCCAGAGCCAGACCUCCACCUCCUCACCCAGAGCCAGACCUCCACCUCCUCACCCAGAGCCAGACCUUCACCUCCUCACCCAGAGCCAGACCUUCACCUCCUCACCCAGAGCCAGACCUCCACCUCCUCACCCAGAGCCAGACCUCCACCUCCUCGCCCAGAGCCAGACCUCCACCUCCUCGCCCAGAGCCAGACCUCCACCUCCUCGCCCAGAGCCAGACCUCCACCUCCUCGCCCAGAGCCAGACCUCCACCUCCUCGCCCAGAGCCAGACCUCCACCUCCUCGCCCAGAGCCAGACCGCCACCUCCUCGCCCAGAGCCAGACCUCCACCUCCUCACCCAGAGCCAGACCUCCACCUCCUCACCCAGAGCCAGACCUCCACCUCCUGUCAGAAGUCCUCCAGAACAGCUGAAAGGCGAGGCUGAGAGGCUGGGGACCGGCUUGUGGUGCCAGGAAGGACCGGAGACUGAGGCUGGAGACCAGGGGCCUGCAGCACCGGACCAGAGGACGUUGGGGCCAGAUUUGAGCUGUUUGUUCCAGACCAGGACUCUGGCUGAGGAGUGCUGAUGGAGGAGCCAAGACUCUGGAGGACGACACCACUCUACCAACAAGGAUCCUCGUCAGUUUGCAUAAAGUAAAGUGUGGACUUGUUGUAACACAGGAUUAGUUUGUCCAGUAGUUAAGUUAAGGCAUACUACUGUGGUUGGUUACCAGACAAACUACAGCUGCUACUUUCUUCCGCGUAAUUAGAGUCCAGCUACUGCUGUGUUUGUGACCUCACAUUAGAGCCAAACUACUAAUGUGUUUGUUACCUUACAUUAGAGACAAAUUACGUUUGUAACCAGACCAGGAAUCUGGAUUACUGACGGAGAAGCCCAGAGCCGGCGCUGGCUGUUUCGGCGCCCUAGGCGGC